CGUAUCUUUUAUUUAAGGGUCUAAACGAAACUAAAACCAAUAAUCUUCUUCCGAUUCUUUCUUUAAACAAAUGAAAUUUAAGUCAAAAUUCUACAGCGUUUAUAAUACCUGAUCCAUAAAUAACUUAAUUAAUUAAUUUUCGCAAUCUACAGUUUUCUUGUAAUCAUUUCUCAAUCUACAAUCUGUUAUUAGUUCCAGUGUUUCGGCAAAAGUUAUAACAAGAGAUAAUUUCUGUAGACAGUUGAUCUCACUCAAAAGAGAUAUAAGUUAACUUGCAUCCCUGUUUUUGUUACAAAAAGAAAAUAAGUAAACUUUUAAGUUAUAAGUUAAACUUAAGUUUACAAACUUGUAAUAAAUAAAAAUAAACUUUUAUAUCUUUUAUUUUAUAAUUUGGCAGUCAUUUUUCUCAAAAUAAAAUUUGUUGACUUACAUCUCUCUUGAAUUAAAGCCCUCAAUUAAGUAAUGCCAUAAGUCACGAAUAUGAAGGUGUCGCUAUACAAGUUCGCGUAAAGAAAUAACAUUUUAAAACAACAUUGAUGGUUUACGUGAGAAACUACUUCCAUUAAUUAAUCUAAUUGUUUCCAGAUGUUAUCAUAAUUCCUUUCCCUUCUUUGCUCUCAAUUUUUAUAACUUUAAUGUAUUGCAUAUUCACAUACGUUCGUGCGCAACACGCAUUAUUAAAAAAUUCAAGUUAUUCAAAUCUAUAUGUAUUUCAUAUUUUCUUUUUACCAUCAUUAUUGUAUGUGUCCGCGAUAGAGGAAAUAAAAGAUUUAAUAUAAUUAACAGAACGCUAAAAAUGUGGGAAAAAAUCAUUUUGAAGGAACGAAUUGUAUACAAACCGGUAACUGUAAUAAGAAGGAACCGUAACUUAAAGGUCUAAUUUCUUGGCCAAUGAAAAAACUGAGAUCAAAAUCGAAACCGGAAGUUAUCUUAUUAAACCGCAACCGUACUGGAAUAUCAUUAAGGUCCCUCUUUAUUGUAAAUAUUUCAAGAAAUAUGUACGCCAAGAAUCAAUCUACAAUAACUGGCUGACUUAUGACAUUAUGAAUAGAUGUUAAAGCCACAUGACAAACUACAAUUUAAUUAAAUUGUUUCAUUAACGUAAAGAAUGCUAAAUAUAAUUCACAUAUAUAACGCGAAUAAAUAUUUACAGUUCGUGCAACUGUUCCCGUAUCAUUUAAUAUCACUGGAAGAAUAACGUACGACAAUGAUACUACCACAAUGGAGAAGGAACAAUGAUUUGUUCUUAUACCAAUGAUAACCUACUUAAACAGUUAAUAACUGACAGAAUAGCGAAGCGGUUUUCUUUACAAUCGACAGUGCAGUAUUGUUUAUUACAUUGGGUCCGGACGAGCAUGGGUAAUGCAAAAGUUAUCGAAUCGUGUACCAUUCAGAAUUAGGAUUAAAAAUCGUAUUAUCGAACUUGUCUUGGCGCCCAAUUCUGGUCUAUCAAGAUUUAAAGUUUUAAAAAGUGUUCGGGCGCCGCAACAACUCGCAAGUCUUUCACGCUGCAUAACUUUAUAAAUAAUAUUCAUACAGAAUAUUUAGGUAUGUACUACGUGGCAAAUUAUACGUUCGAUCUCAUUCGAUCAAGUCCGACUUGAAUUUAUAAUAUAAUUCUCACAAUUACCUACAUAUCCCUAAUAACGUUACAAGUGUUUUUAAGCAACUGUUCUUAUAUAAUCUUCGAAAUAUUAAUACUAAAAAAUUUUGAGGAAUGUAUGUCCUAGACCUAACGUACCACCCGCUAAUGAUAGAUUUCUAAGAUUAUUUUGAGACGAAAAUCCUAACGAUGCGAGCGUGUGCUCAAGUCGCCAACGUCGCUUAACUUUAACCUCGGCUUAAGUCACUCUCUGUCUCUUUCCAAGAGAAACAGAAAGAGGCGAAGAGCGAAUUUGAGCCGCAGUUAAAAUUCCGUGUCGUUGGUGCAACCGAGCCUUACCAAACAAAUUGAACGAAAAGAGUUCAAAUCCAACCACGAAAGUGGCAACCACCAAGAAUAUCCCACAGACUUCUAUAUACUACUAGACUGGCACCUUCGAGCUGAGAAGUGAGGCAAGAGUUCCGCCAUGUCUUGUUAAAAUAUUAUUAAAUAAAGUAGUAUGCGUGCAUCGGUGUGUCACUGACAGUACAUACUGAUAUUUUGCAUACGUAUUAGCUGAUCUGGUGCGCUUGAAAGUAUCUUCACUACUGUGCAAUGUGACACAUCUGAGCGCGCGUUUCGAACAACUUGAUUCGUCAACUUUGAACACUUCUCUAUGAUGGGUUUUAUAGGACCACCUUGGUAUUAGAAUUUUCGUCUCAAAAUGCUCUCAGAAAUCUGUCGUUAGCGGGUGGUACGUUAAGCCUGGGACACCUUGAAAAUAGAAUAAAUAUAAUUAAAAUGAUUCACAUAAAAAUCUAUCAAGUGUAAGAAGAAUUUCACUCGCUCGGAUAUCGAAUAUCAUGGGUGUCUUCUGUGUCCAUUGUAAGACUCCGUCUCCGGUUUGUACGCCGAAUUAACUGGAUUAACCGAAUUAAUAGCGUAGUUAAUGAGCUCUUUUUACUGUUUGACGUCCAGUUUUACACGGGGGGAGGAAAAAGAAUCCUAUUUACGAAAGCUAAACGCGAAGAUAACGAAGUGGGAUAUUUGAAUGAAUAUUUUCUGACUGGAAAUAUACAUAUGAUUAAAAGCGAUUAAAAGAACAUGUGAGGCUACCGCGAACUGACCGUGAGUACUUGGUAAAUAAGUCUAUCGUUAGGCAACGUUAAGUGGCUUCGUAAAAACUUAAUGCGCUUGACCCCGAUAAUGCUUGUCAAAUUUUACGCAUAUUAAGGAUUCCUAGAAAUUCUCAACAUCUUCGCCGCUGAAGCGCGUUCUUUUUUGCAAUUUUGAAAAAAUUUAUCUGACAAACAGUCUCUGCGCAAGCAAAGAUAGUGUAUGUAUCGUGUCCGCGCUGUGCCGCAGUCGUUAACUGAAAUCAUGCCAUUCGACUCGUAUGUCAAUCGAUAUAACAAAGCUCGGUAUCACGCGAAGAUAAAGAUGUGUGACUUCCUUUCGAUAACAGAAACGUCAAUUUCAAAUUUAAGAUACCGUUCUUGCAGUUGCGCAAUCUAAAGCCUGGCGAUAUCACCGGAAACAACGCGAAACGAUUGAACCGAACGUUUUAAUCGAUGUAAAUCAGCGGAAGCCGCGAACCUUCGCAAAGCCAUUUGUAAAAAGGAGGCUGAAUUGAAUUGUUUAUUCUACUCAAUUCGUCGCGAACAAUUCCAAACUAAUGACUCAGUGACUCGGGUGUUUCGCUAUCGCUGUCUACUCUCGAUAUCGCUUUAUCGUGACUCAUUUUUAACAGGCGAGUAUACAAAUUCGUCACAACUGACACAAUAACUGCCGCCUUAUUUAUUAAUCAUGUUCAUAAGCGCGAUAAUGUUUUUUUUUCAACAUUUUAUAGACUCAUAAAAAAUGCCUGCGAUCGAUACAUGCAUACGCGUGUUUCGUUUAAUCAAGAGAAAGAAGCGAGAAGAUAGAAUCAAAUCUUUCGUUUACAUCUUUCGUAAUCUGCGCAUCUCGCAGGCUCGAUUACCUCAGAUGAACUUGCGAUUUAAAGUACGGAUUUACGAUUGGAAUUUAUCCGUACCAAAUCGAAUUUAUGAAUAAUCGAGACACUCCUUUCUUUUUGGCGAUUCUCCGAACAUAUCUGAUUCACUACGUGAAUCAGAAUCGCUGUAGAUCUCGCAGGUACAUACGCCCGGAAAGCAGAGUCUUUCCAUCGUGUAUCAGACGCAGGCGAUAAGAAUCGUUGAAAUAUCGGGUCAUCCAAUACGGACAUAUAAAACUCUUAAAUCCCGUAAUUAAUUAUAUCAUUUCGUAUUAUCCAUCGAUAUAUCUGCGAGCUUAGGAGACACAAUUUUUAAUCCCGGAAAAUUGCUUUAUAAAAUACCCUAUCAAUUGAGCCUCUCAGUCUUCGUCAAAGCCGCAAAGCCUUCCACGCAUCGUAUGUCUUUAGAAUAAUAAUAAAUCGGUUCAACAACAUAGAUUGGUUUAGUGAUACAGUAGAGAAUGUAAAUCACUACGACACGAAUUGUAUUAAAUGAUUCUCGACAUUUUAUAAAUUAAAAAGUGAAUCAGACAAUGAUUUUUUUUGGGCGGUACGCAUCGCAUCGCUUCGCCUUGUUCCACUUGCAAAGCAUCGUAGCAACGUAUACAAAGUCUACCAUAUAAAUGGUGGCUCGCGAGUUUUGCGGAAAUUUUAAAUAGGGUUAUUAUUCCAAGCGUACAUUCAAAUUUCAAAUGAAUGUCGCCUACUUAACGCAGAGUUACGGUAAACCCCGAGCUUACUAAGAACAGACGCACUAUGGGAGUCUCCAAAAACUACAAAGACUUGCGACGCAAUUGUUACAGCAAGACGUCGAUUAUCGAGACAAAUCGAGAAACUAAUACAUCGAUUAUGGAUUGUCCGCAGAAAAUCUCAAAAAAAAAAAAAUGUAAUCCACGUGGAAUAUAAUUUGAAGGUAAACAUCAUAAAGAUAAAAAUAGAUGUCCAGACAAUUGACGUCCCUAUGUGUAUGUACGCAGAUGUAUCGGCCCGUCUAGUAUUAAUAUUAAGUUAAGUACAGCGCGCAAGUACAAUUUCGGUAAAUCGGCGAAUGUAUACAAUGUUAUUAUCGUAAAAAUAUAUAAAUUUAUCAAGAGCUAGGUCACUAGCGAUUUUGCGUUUUGCUCGGAAUCGGAUAAAGGGUACAUGCGAGAAUUAUGCCUGUGCGUAUCUAUACAAAAGUCAAAUGUACAUAUAUGAUACAGAAUAAAUUUGCGACAAGUUGACUUUAAUCGUGCAACGUGUACGUCCGUGGAGGAAUGAGAAUAUAUUUAUCCGUGAGGAAUGGGAAUAUAUUUAUCCGCGGUUUGAUCCCAGACGGUUAUCAUAGCAAAACCACGCUCUUCCGGUUCCCGUAUCUGGCGAUGCGUUUAAUUGCCGAGUGCACGAUAAAAAUAGUGUAUUCGCGCGCAUCAAUCCGACUCGGUUUUAACCGUAGAAUGAAUUUCCGUAUAGCGACGCAUGGAACGAUGAAAUGUGGUACCGCUAUCGGAAAAGAACAAUACCGUCGACCUGUACAUUUAAUCGCGACUAGUUUUACGUAUUAAUUAACUUAUCAUGGUAGAACCUCUCUAUUCGGAAAUAUCUCCCCUGCAUCCCCACUUUUGUUCUAAUACAUGUACGCGGAUGAAAAUGUUGUGCGCUCUAUCUUCCAUUCGCUCUCUCGCUUUACGCAUGCUAAUGAGAUCACUUAGCGAAGAUGCGUGAUGGAAGAAUAGUGUAGAAUAAGGAUUCUAGUUUACGAGUUGUCGAAAAAAAAAAACAAGCUUUAUAGACUACCUAGACCCAUAUCGAAACGGACAAGUGAACCAUGUCGCCGUAUUUAAGAAAGAGUGCAAUGAGAGUGCAAUGCACUUGAACGGAAAUUAUAAAUUAAUGAUUUUAAUUUUAAGCAUGUAGCACUUAUUGUAGAGAAACAAAAACUAAGCUUUGAAAAUUGUAAAUCCUGCACUAUGAUUUCAAGAUACAUUAAUAUUUAGCGAUAUUUAGUUGUAGAAAAUUUGGAUGACUUGUUGCCCAUCUAUGAAUAAUAAAAUACUGCUAAAGAUUGACCGUCUCAUGGAAGUUUGCGUGACCGCCAAAAUUUGGACAGUUAGCUUAUAUUAAGUUUCAUGAUUAUUAUAUAUGUGCUCGUCUAGAAAGCAUAUACAAAGCAUACUGUAACAUAAUCUGUAUAACAAAGAUAAUGAUUGGACAAAGAGAA